rnacentral:lncRNA from 1 species
UAUGAAGAAACAGGAGAUUCCUACAUGCUCCUGGGGAUCCAGAAGAGAGACCACUCACAUGACUGGAAGAUUUCCAGCUCAGGGAGUGCUGGUUUGCCACAAAACUCCAUCGUAACUGAAAGAGGAAAUCUUCUACAAAUUCCAGGUGUGGCUGCUGUUUUGGCUGAUGAGUAUACUAAAGUCAGUGAAACAGACGAAAUCUGUGGAGCUUUCUUCCUUGGGGGAGGAGGCCAACAACAACAACGAAUACACACAGAGGAAGAGCAAUGGAAUGAAUUGUGUUCCCUCCCCUCCCAAAUUCAUAUGUUGAAGCCCUAACUGCCAACGUGAUGGUAUCUGGAGAUGGGGCAUUUGGGAAAUAAUUAGAUUUAGAAGAGAUCAUGAAGGUGGGAGACUCGUGAUGGGAUUAGUGCCCUUUUAAGAAGAGAAAGAGUCAGGUGCAGUGGCUCU